AUGGAGGCGCUCGCUACCGCACCCGCGCCGUCACGUCCAGGCCCCCCACCCCCGACCCGCUGCUCCCAUCUCCGCCGCCCCAAAGCCCUAGCCACCUCCAAGCUCCCUCGCCGCGUCAUCGCCGCCCUUCACAUGGACGGCCCCCGCGCCGCGCCCCUUCGCUGCACUCCCGCCGAGACGGACGCGGUGGCGACGACCUCGGACCAGACCGAGACGGCGGCGGCGGUCGAAGCCACCGAGCUGGGCAACAACGGGGCCCCGGCCCCGGCGGCGGACGCCCCCGCCGCCAGCAUCGAGGGGCUGGACGGGAUAAAGAUCCGGAGGCGCCCGGUCACGGGCCCGUCCGUGCACCACGUGGGCCCCUUCCAGUUCCGCCUCGAGAACGAGGGCAACACGCCGCGCAACAUCCUCGAGAAGAUUGUCUGGAACAAGGACGUUGAGAUUUGGCAGAUGAAGGAGAAAAUGCCCCUGUACAGGCUGAAAGGUCCGCUGGACAAUGCGCCUCCGGCCAGGGACUUUGUUGCUGCGCUGAAAGCGUCCUACGAUCGGACUGCUCUGCCCGCUCUGAUUGCGGAGGUGAAGAAGGGGUCGCCAAGCCGGGGGGUUCUUAGGGAGAAUUUUGAACCGGUCGAGAUCGCUCAAGCGUACGAGAAAAAUGGAGCAGCAUGCUUAAGUGUUCUUACAGAUUCAAAAUUCUUUCAGGGAAGUUUCGACUACUUGGAGGCUAUACGCAAUGCUGGAGUGAAGUGUCCUCUUCUGUGCAAAGAGUUCAUCAUUGACGCUUGGCAGCUUUACUAUGCACGGUCUAAGGGAGCAGAUGCUGUUCUUCUGAUUGCCGCCAUCUUACCUGAUCGUGAUAUCAGUUAUAUGCUGAAAAUAUGCAAAAUACUCGGGAUGGCAGCUCUAGUUGAGGUGCAUGAUGAAAGGGAAAUCGACCGUGUUAUAGGGAUAGCUGGCAUUCAGCUUAUUGGCAUCAAUAACCGUAAUCUUGAAACUUUUGAAGUUGACAUUUCAAACACGAAAAAGCUUCUGGAGGGUGAACGGGGACAACUUAUAGCCCAGAAGGACAUAAUUGUCGUAGGCGAAUCUGGACUGUUCACGCCUGACCAUGUUUCAUUCGUUCAGGAUGCCGGGGUCAAAGCGAUUCUUGUCGGGGAGUCCCUCAUCAAGCAGGAGGACCCUGGGAAAGCAAUCGCUGGGCUUUUCGGCAAAGACAUCUCACCCGUGAGUAGUGCGGUGUAA
rnacentral:rRNA from 1 species